rnacentral:rRNA from 1 species
GACGAACGCUGGCGGCACGCCUAAUACAUGCAAGUAGGACGCGGUUGCGAACGGGUGAGUAACGCGUCGGUCACUGCCUAUUAGAGGGGGCUAAAUAUUGGAACCGAUAGCUAAUAACGCAUACUAGUAGAUGGACCUGCGUUGUAUUAGCUAGUAGGUAGGGUAAUGGCCUACCUAGGCAACGAUACAUUGGCGACCUGGGAGGGUGAACGGCCACACUGGGACUUGGAAAAGGCCCAGGCUCCUACGGGAGGCAGCAGUAGGGAAAUUUCGGCAAUGGGGGGAACCCUGACCGAGCAACGCCGCGGUAUUGAAGAAGGGUUUCGGAUCAUAAAGCUCCUUUGAUAAGGAAGCGGUACUUAACCAGAAAGGGACGGCUAACUACGUGCCAGCAGCCGCGGUAAUAC